AGCUUGCUCCCGGAUGUUAGCGGCGGACGGGUGAGUAACACGUGGGUAACCUGCCUGUAAGACUGGGAUAACUCCGGGAAACCGGAGCUAAUACCGGAUAGUUCCUUGAACCGCAUGGUUCAAGGAUGAAAGACGGUUUCGGCUGUCACUUACAGAUGGACCCGCGGCGCAUUAGCUAGUUGGUGAGGUAACGGCUCACCAAGGCGACGAUGCGUAGCCGACCUGAGAGGGUGAUCGGCCACACUGGGACUGAGACACGGCCCAGACUCCUACGGGAGGCAGCAGUAGGGAAUCUUCCGCAAUGGACGAAAGUCUGACGGAGCAACGCCGCGUGAGUGAUGAAGGUUUUCGGAUCGUAAAGCUCUGUUGUUAGGGAAGAACAAGUGCAAGAGUAACUGCUUGCACCUUGACGGUACCUAACCAGAAAGCCACGGCUAACUACGUGCCAGCAGCCGCGGUAAUACGUAGGUGGCAAGCGUUGUCCGGAAUUAUUGGGCGUAAAGGGCUCGCAGGCGGUUUCUUAAGUCUGAUGUGAAAGCCCCCGGCUCAACCGGGGAGGGUCAUUGGAAACUGGGAAACUUGAGUGCAGAAGAGGAGAGUGGAAUUCCACGUGUAGCGGUGAAAUGCGUAGAGAUGUGGAGGAACACCAGUGGCGAAGGCGACUCUCUGGUCUGUAACUGACGCUGAGGAGCGAAAGCGUGGGGAGCGAACAGGAUUAGAUACCUCUGGUAGUCCACGCCGUAAACGAUGAGUGCUAAGUGUUAGGGGGUUUCCGCCCCC
rnacentral:rRNA from 1 species